UCUUAUGUAUUUGUACCACUUCUUUCAAUAGGGAUUUUUUGUUAUGGUGUUUGGAACACUUUCAGACAGAAAGGUCCGAGAGUCACUGCCAACAUUGCAGAAUCUCAUGUCCAAUUGUACCAGGAGCACUAAUGCAGAAAGUGGAAUUUUUGUCUUAAAUGUGAACACUAUAUAUGACGCAAGAAGUGUCUCAUCAUCUUCAUCUUCUGACAGCUCCACUGCAUCAAACACUGAUUGAUUCUGCUGUGAGAGAACCUUUUUAUGUUCUGAUAUAAAUACAUGAAGUAGUUUUUAGUUUUAUUAUAUAAUGCACUUUAAAUCAUGUUGCAGUAUGUCUAUGAGUAGAUAAAUCUAGUUGUCACAGUCUUUACUGGUCCACUAAGUAAUUUCUGUUAAGCUUAAGUACACAUAAAGUAAAAUAUUUGCCACUAGUGCACUUUUAUAAACAGAACUAAAAAGAGCUUUUAGAAUAGAUGUUGGAGGACAGUUCUGACCUAAUGGUUAGAGAGUCAAGCUUGUAUACCAAAGGUCUCAGGUUUGAGUCUCACAGCUGGCAGCACUAUUUUAUUAUAUAACAUAAAAAAACACAAGGGGGCAAAACAACAUAAACAGGAUACCUAAACAGAGGGACAGAACACUAAACAGGACAAGAUCUAAACUACACUUAAACACUAAACAGGAUGACACUAAACAAUGAACUUGACUAAAUACAAUAGACUAGACUAGACUAGACUAAACUAGACUAGACUAGACUUAGAACAGCGUACUCACAGGAUGUAAGAACAAUGCACAAGCACAGAACAACAAACACAAGAACCUUAAAUAGGGGAGAACAAAUGAGGACAACAUGUGACAUGGGUUAAACAGUAAAGGGGAUGACGAGGGAGCGGGGUAAAAGUGACAUGAACACGUGGUCUAGUAAAACCAAUACAGAGACCACCUGAUCCCACACAAAACAUGGAUCUGUCAUGAUUCUGCCACAAGACUAGACUAAACAAAGGACAAGAUGGCAGAACCAUGACACAUACAUACAACUGUAAAUUAUAGUGCGCUGUAUGUUCUGUGGGCGCCAAAAGAAAACCAUUUAUCUAAUAUUUUUUCAUUUCUGUAAUGAAGAUAAAUGGAUAAAUGUGUGGUAAUCUGCAACAACACUGUUGGGAGUUACAAUUGCUUGUGUAUGAGUGGAUAUAAUGUAACAGACCUGAACCUCCCUAUAAACAUCAGUAACCCAUGCAGAGAUAUGUCUUUGAUAAGGUUUUAUGAUUUAUGGUGUUGUUUUAUAUAGGAGUUUUUGUUCAACCAAUUUUUAAUUAAUUAAAUAAAAAAUCAGAAAGUCA